rnacentral:ncRNA from 1 species
UUAAUAAUAUACAACCCCCGUAUAAUCCCGGUAAUAUGGUCUGGGAGUCUCUACAGAGUGGCCGUAAAUCACUCUACUAUGGACGGUG